UUGACCUCAAAUCAGGUAGGACUACCCGCUGAACUUAAGCAUAUCAAUAAGCGGAGGAAAAGAAACUAACAAGGAUUCCCCUAGUAACUGCGAGUGAAGCGGGAAAAGCUCAAAUUUAAAAUCUGGUGGUCUYCGGCCAUCCGAGUUGUAAUCUAGAGAAGUGUUACCCGCGUCGGACCGUGUACAAGUCUCCUGGAAUGGAGCGUCAUAGAGGGUGAGAAUCCCGUCUUUGACACGGACUACCGAGGCUUUGUGGUGCGCUCUCAAAGAGUCGAGUUGUUUGGGAAUGCAGCUCAAAAUGGGUGGUAAAUUCCAUCUAAAGCUAAAUAUUGGCGAGAGACCGAUAGCGAACAAGUACCGUGAGGGAAAGAUGAAAAGAACUUUGGAAAGAGAGUUAAACAGUACGUGAAAUUGCUGAAAGGGAAACGCUUGAAGUCAGUCGCGUUGGCCGGAAAUCAGCCUUGCUUUUGCGGGGUGUACUUUCUGGUUGACGGGCCAGCAUCAGUUUUGACCGGUGGAAAAAGUCCAAGGGAAUGUGGCAUCUUCGGAUGUGUUAUAGCCCUUGUUCGUAUACAUCGAUUGGGACUGAGGAACUCAGCACGCCGAAAGGCCGGGUCUUUGACCACGUUCGUGCUUAGGAUGCUGGCAUAAUGGCUUUAAUCGACCCGUC
rnacentral:rRNA from 1 species